rnacentral:rRNA from 1 species
UACAGAGGGGGCAAGCGUUGUUCGGAAUUACUGGGCGUAAAGGGCGCGUAGGCGGCCUUCUAAGUCGAACGUGAAAUCCCCGGGCUCAACCCGGGAACUGCGUCCGAUACUGGAAGGCUUGAAUCCGGGAGAGGGAUGUGGAAUUCCAGGUGUAGCGGUGAAAUGCGUAGAUAUCUGGAGGAAUACCGGUGGCGAAGGCGGCAUCCUGGACCGACAUUGACGCUGAGGAGCGAAAGCUAGGGGAGCAAACAGG